UACGGAGGGUGCAAGCGUUAUCCGGAUUUACUGGGUUUAAAGGGUGCGUAGGCGGUCUUUUAAGUCAGGGGUGAAAUCCCGGGGCUCAACCCCGGAACUGCCUUUGAUACUAUUAGACUUGAAUUAUGUUGAGGUUGGCGGAAUAUAACAUGUAGCGGUGAAAUGCAUAGAUAUGUUAUAGAACACCGAUUGCGAAGGCAGCUGACUAAACAUUAAUUGACGCUGAGGCACGAAAGCGUGGGGAUCAAACAGG
rnacentral:rRNA from 1 species